UGAGAAAGAGCUAUCGCCGCCGCGCCUGGUCGCCGGAAAACCCCACUGCCAUCGCCGGAAAACUCUGCCGGUAAGGGUUUUGAAUUUGGUCUUCAUUUGUUUAAGAUUCUGGAAGCUUUAACGUCUCUGUAUAUGGGUUCCAGGCACCAUUUCCGGAGUCCGGUCGCCGCUGCUAUUUGAGGUGGCUACCGGGCUGCUGCCGAACCGGUUCGGAGACCGCCGCUAUUUUGGUUUAGCCGUUCCUUCUUCGGUUCGGUAAGCGUUUUGAUUUGAAAGCCCUUUCGUUAUUGUUCUGUUAUCUCACGCUGAGAUUUGUGGCAUUAAUUGCUAUAAGAUUGAGUUUCAGUUGUUGUAUGUUGCGAUUAGAGUCGUUGAGAUUGUUGAGAAAGCAAGUGGAGCCGAGUUGUUGGUUGCCGUCACUUCGGGUUGAGGUGAAAGGGACUCUGUGAGAUGUUUGGGUUAUGGAUUUGCGUUUUGAGGAUAUGGAUGCAGAAGUCACGAAGAGUUUAUUUAAUUGUUGUGGAAAUGCUCUGUGUUGCUUUAGAUUACUAUUUAUUGUACCCUCGCCUUCAACUUGAUAUAUUUUGUAAGAGGGAUAGGGAUUGUAUU